AAGGUCUGUCGCAGAUCCCUCCCUUCCCCUGGAGUGAUCGACCGGAACCAUCAGGCGUCUCCCCGCGCCCGGUUCCCCGAGCCCCGUAGGCCCCCCCUGCCUGCGGGGCUUUUUUA
rnacentral:sRNA from 1 species